AUAGAUGACAUCACUGAACUGAACAUUGCAGAGGAUUUUGAUAACCGACCUUCCAAAAAGGCAAAAAUUUCUGAAUCAGGUGUUCUGGAACCAUCACCUAUGUCACCAGCUAUGAAAACAUCUUCUCCAUGUUCAGAGUGUUUUGAAUCGAUCAUGCCGGAAUCAGAUAAUCAGAUGAAUCAUGAUACACUACCAUCACCUCCAUCCCCAUCUAGCUCGACAAUAUCUCAUCAUGAUGUUAAGGAACCAGAUUCACAUAAAGAGAUUAAAGUUGAUGAGACAUAUGAUUAUCUCCCACAAGACUAUACAUUGACCGACCAUGAUCUAUGUGCUCAUAUAGCAAUAGAAUCAUCUUUUAGAAAACAAUUGUUGGUUCAGAUAGAUGGACGUUCUGUCUUGCAACAUUAAUUGAUGUGCCUGCUAGAUGCAAAAGAGUGGGUAAAUGAUGAUGUGAUCAAUGCAUGUAUAUGUUGUAUAAAGGACCAAAUACAUCUCCAGAAUGAUAAUAAAGUAUAUUUUGAGAGUCCAUUUGUUACCUCACUAUUUAAACGAGAUGGCACCAUUGGAAUACAAGAAGAUAGUGCCUUCAUGACAGAGACUGUCCUUGAAUAUAUGCAGCAUGACAUGAUUAAACUUCCAAUAAAUGCCAAUAACACACAUUGGUAUUUAGCUGUUGUGAAUACAAAAAAAUGUGAGGUUCAAGUACUAGACUCAUUGUGCUGGAAUUCUGACAGAGAUGAUCUCGCUAAUACGCUACGAGGAAUACAAUUUCAUUUGGACCUUCUUAAAAGUCAAAAGUUGGUAAGUGACGAUUGGAAAGACGUUGAUCUUACUGAAUGGAAGAUCACAGAACAAUUACAAAAGGCAAUUCAAAAAGAUAGCUCUUCUUGUGGUUUAUUUAUGGUUAAAUUUAUGGAAUAUUUCACCGGACGUGCACUAUCCUACCCAAUUACACAAGAAAUGAUUACUUCUUUUAGGUUUAAGUUAGCCAGCAUACUAUUAUGUUGGAAAACAAACACGGCAGCAGGAGAUCCUGAUGAUGUUCAAAUAUUGGAAAGUUUAGAUGAUAUAAAAAAACAAAAACAAAAAUCCUUAUCUGUUGAAAACAAAUACAGAUCACUAAUAUCAAUUCUUUCUAAUAUGACCUUACAUGAGUUAACAGCUGUACUUUGUAGUUUCAUUAAAUCAAUCAAUUACACCGAGAUUUUAGAGAAAGUAUGGAUUUAGAGUUCAAAAUCAUAUCCAAUAAGCUUGUCUCUUAGAAAACUACAAGGAAUGCUAAAGGAUGAUUUACCCAUGGACCGAGAUUGCUUUAACUUGAUCGUACGAAAGAUUAUGUUGGAUGACAUCCAAACAUCACAAAAAAAGCAAUUGAUAGCAAAGCAUUAUCUGGACAUGAAAUUUUGGAUGGCUACUGAUUUUGGAAGGCACCCAGAUUUCCGUAAAAAGUUAGAUGUGGAGCAACUAGCAAAAUCUGUUCGUAGUUGGCCCGGUAUCAAAUAUAAUGUUUCAACAUGCAAAUCGGUAAGAGCACUUUUGUAUAUUUUAGAGAAUUUUUUAUUAUUGCAUCUAAUAUCUAGCCUAUUUCAGAUCCAUAUCCCAGUACAAUCCAUUGAUGAAUUCAUUCUAUUCACAUUGGACCAAGAUACAAGAACAUUAUACAUUUUGGACCCUACUCCUUUUAAUCCAAUAUACCGACAACCCACUCGCAAAAUAUUUGAAAAAAUUAUAUGGAUUAACGAACACUUACCGAAAGCAAUGUCAAAUGCAUGCCCUGGGUCUAGAUGGAACGAGGAUAUUCUCCUAUGGCAUCAUAAAAUCCUAGAUGAUAUUCCAGUUUACAACAGGGAACUGUCUGGUUAUCUUGUUCCCCUAUUCAUGUCCACAUGGGAAGAUGAAAGACCACAUUUGCCAUUUUUAAAAGAUGGAUAUGAACUCAGAAAACUAAUUUUGGGCCAAGUGCUAACAUUCAAGGACAAUGAAUGUGAAGAUAACAUGCCUGCUGGUGUAUUGGAAUUCAUCAAUUGUAUUAGGAAAAUCCAAAAUUAA
rnacentral:rRNA from 1 species